GACGAACGCUGGCGGCGCGCCUAACACAUGCAAGUCGAACGGAGCUUAGAGAGCUUGCUUUUUAAGCUUAGUGGCGAACGGGUGAGUAACGCGUGAGUAACCUGCCCUAGAGUGGGGGACAACAGUUGGAAACGACUGCUAAUACCGCAUAAGCCCACGGUAUCGCAUGGUACUGAGGGAAAAGGAUUUAUUCGCUUUAGGAUGGACUCGCGUCCAAUUAGCUAGUUGGUGAGGUAACGGCCCACCAAGGCGACGAUUGGUAGCCGGACUGAGAGGUUGAACGGCCACAUUGGGACUGAGACACGGCCCAGACUCCUACGGGAGGCAGCAGUGGGGGAUAUUGCACAAUGGGGGAAACCCUGAUGCAGCGACGCCGCGUGGAGGAAGAAGGUUUUCGGAUUGUAAACUCCUGUCGUUAGGGACGAUAAUGACGGUACCUAACAAGAAAGCACCGGCUAACUACGUGCCAGCAGCCGCGGUAAAACGUAGGGUGCAAGCGUUGUCCGGAAUUACUGGGUGUAAAGGGAGCGCAGGCGGGAAGACAAGUUGGAAGUGAAAACCAUGGGCUCAACCCAUGAAUUGCUUUCAAAACUGUUUUUCUUGAGUAGUGCAGAGGUAGAUGGAAUUCCCGGUGUAGCGGUGGAAUGCGUAGAUAUCGGGAGGAACACCAGUGGCGAAGGCGGUCUACUGGGCACCAACUGACGCUGAGGCUCGAAAGCAUGGGUAGCAAACAGGAUUAGAUACCCUGGUAGUCCAUGCCGUAAACGAUGAUUAUUAGGUGUUGGGGGAGUGACCCCCCUCAGUGCCGCAGUUAACACAAUAAGUAAUCCACCUGGGGAGUACGACCGCAAGGUUGAAACUCAAAGGAAUUGACGGGGGCCCGCACAAGCAGUGGAGUAUGUGGUUUAAUUCGAAGCAACGCGAAGAACCUUACCAGGUCUUGACAUCCGAUGCAUAGCACAGAGAUGUGUGAAAUCCUUCGGGACAUCGAGACAGGUGGUGCAUGGUUGUCGUCAGCUCGUGUCGUGAGAUGUUGGGUUAAGUCCCGCAACGAGCGCAACCCUUAUUGCCAGUUACUACGUUAAGAGGACUCUGGCGAGAUUGCCGUUGACAAAACGGAGGAAGGUGGGGAGGACGUCAAAUCAUCAUGCCCCCUAUGACCUGGGCUACACACGUACUACAAUGGCGUUAAACAAAGAGAAGCAAGACCGCGAGGUGGAGCAAAACUCAAAAACAACGUCUCAGUUCAGAUUGCAGGCUGCAACUCGCCUGCAUGAAGUCGGAAUUGCUAGUAAUCGCGGAUCAGCAUGCCGCGGUGAAUACGUUCCCGGGCCUUGCAC
rnacentral:rRNA from 1 species